rnacentral:rRNA from 1 species
GUAAGGGUCCGCAGGCGGUUUUGUGCAUCUUCUGUUAAAUCUAUCAGCCUAACUGGUAGGCCGCGGAAGAGAUGGCAAAACUAGAGGCCGGGAAAGGCGAGUAGAAUUGCUGGUGUAGGGGUUAAAUCCGUUAAUAUCAGCAGGAAUACCAAAUGCGAAGGCAGCUCGCUGGAACGUGCCUGACGCUCAGGGACGAAAGCGUGGGUAGCGAAGGGGAUUAGAUACCCCCGUAGUCCACGCCGUAAACGAUGGAUGCUAAGCAUUGGCGGUUUCGACCCUGUCAGUGCUGUUUAUUGAAGCUAACGCGUUAAGCAUCCCGCCUGGGGAGUACGAGCGCAAGCUUAAAACUCAAAGGAAUAGACGGGGACCCGCACAAGCGGUGGAGCGUGCGGUUUAAUUCGAUAAUAAGCGAGGAACCUCACCCAGACUUGACAUCUAGCUGCAGACCCUAGGAAACUAGGGAGCCUUCGAGGGUGCUAGACAGAUGGUGCAUGGUUGUCGUCAGCUCGUGUCGUGAGAUGUACCGUUAAGUCGGGAAACGAGCGCAACCCCUAUCCUAUGUUUUACAUGUCAUAGGAAACUGCCCGCUUUAAGUGGGAGGAAGGUGGGGACGACGUCAAAUCAGCAUGUCUCUUAUGUCUGGGGCGACACGCGCGCUACAAUGGGAAGCACAAAGGGACGCCAAACCGUAAGGUGGAGCAAAUCCCCCAAAACUUCUCUCAGUUCGGAUUGGAGUCUGCAACUCGACUCCAUGAAGUUGGAAUCGCUAGUAAACGCGUAUCAGCCACGGCGCGUUGAAUACGUU